GCCGGGCUCGGGGUUUCUCGGUUUUCGGCGUCACAAUAAUAAGGAAGUUUCCCCGCAAGCCUGCGGGCGGCGGAAUGCGCUGGGUGAAGGACUUCGCACCUGGCCAAUGGACGUUCUUAUGGGCUGAACGCGCACCAAUAAUGAGAUAACCGAAAGCCUUGGGAGCAGGGUGAAAAAAAGCUAGAGCGUGAUAAAUGAGGGUGAGUGCAGUAUUCUGUUUUACUUGUCUUCGGAGGACCACGGGAAGCGCAGAGCCGAAACGUGUGGGAUCUGGAGCUGCGCAGUGAGAGAGGCGGGAAGGAGGUCCGCUGCAGCGGAGAGUGCUGCCAGCGCCCUUCUGGAGAGUUGAAAACCGGAGAGGAGAGCUGUGCUGCUGAAGAAAAGAGAGCUUGAACGAGCAUGAAAAGCAGAGUCCCUGAGCAUAAAUCGUCAUUUGAAAGAUACCCUGUGUCCUAAAACUCAGUAACGGAAGUUUGCCCUUCUUCACUUUCUCAGGCACUGUAUCUCUCAGAGCUUCCUCCUCCUCCCCAAGGUCACAAGUGCUUUCAGACUCUCCCUGGCCCUUAUCUGAUCCACAGAUAAUCUUUUGAAGAAAACAUUCUCAGAGGUGACUUCAGGUGUCAGCCCUUCUUAAAUGUGAAAUGCAGAACACUGAGAAUGAAAUGCAGAACACUGAGAAAUUACUGCUUUAACCCAAAGGGAUGACUUUCCUAGUGGAAGAAUUUUUAAACCCUGGCAUUUGAACCAGGAAAAAUCAAGGACAAAGGACGCUUAAAUCACCUCAGGUCUGCAAUCACCUGGUCUGAGGACCUAAUAGAUUGACCAAGCAGAAAAAAGUUUUGAGGAGUAGUGUAUCCUGAUGAUGAGACAGUGUUGGCUUCAAGUGAAUCCUCAGUGAAAUAAGGCAAACUGUCAAAUACCCCUGAGACAAUAAAGAUUUUUUUAAAAAGUA